ensembl:lncRNA
AGAAGGUGGUUUUCAACUUUCUUUGUUAACUUUCUGCUUCAACUUUAAACUAAAUUUCCUUCACUAACCCAGCCCUCUGGACUUCCAGUCAGCUGUGUUCCUAUUGGCUGUCCAGGUGGCUGCUUGGUGUUAUCAGGAACACCUGAGCAGCUCAGUGUCUUCCUGCUUUAUUUAGCUGCAGACAAACAUUUCCUCUGCUUUUCUCCACCAGUGAACUGGGUUUGGCUCCAUUGCUUUAAUUUGUUCUUUAGGCGUUGGCUUGCAGCUUCCAGCAGUAAAAUCAUCUUUAAUGUGUUUCUUGGUGUGUUUUAGGGCUUUGUACUGGAUAGUUGUCUUG